UUCAAGGAAGUACUUUGUCCACGUGGACAGAAAACGCUUCCUUGAGGGCGCGCUUUGUAUCCACGUGGACAAAGCGCUUCCUUGAGA
rfam:Gossypium hirsutum cultivar TM-1 chromosome 18, whole genome shotgun sequence